rnacentral:lncRNA from 1 species
CUGGUCACUGCGACACAGCUGCCCUCGCCCAUUCUAAAAAGUCAGCGCCCUCAGGACCGCAGAGCUUAGAAGCAAAGUUAAGAGACUCAUCAGAUUCUGAGCUGCGGCGGGAUAUUUUGCAGAAGGUUACCUAACCAAACUCCUGUAAAACCACACCACCUAUGCCUGUGAUGGGGACUAUCUGAAUCUACAGUGCCCUCGGCAUUCUACAAUAAGUGUCCAAUCGGCAUUUUAUGGACAAGAUUACCCAAUGUGUAGUUCCCAGAAGCCUGCCUGCCAGAGGGAAGACAGCUUAACUUGUGUGGCACCCACCACCUUCCAGAUGAAUUAAAAAACAAAACCGUGUGUGAAGACAAGGAGCUGAAACUGCACUGCCAUGAAUCCAAGUUCCUCAACAUCUACUCUGUGACCUAUGGCAGGAGGAUCCAGGAAAGGGACAUGUGCUCCUCCAAGGCAGAGCGGCUCCCCCCCUUUUCAGUUUGUGCUUUUGUAUGGGUAUUAGCCGGGGUUCUCUAGAGGGACUGAACUAAUAGGAUAUAUAAUGGGAUAUAUAUAUAUGAUUGUGGAAGUCAAUACUUAAUAACACAAUCACAAUCUUGUGAUCGUGAAUGUUAAUACUUAAUAAACUCCCAUAUGUGUGUGUGUGUGUGUGUGUGUGUGUGUGUGUGUGUAUAAAUGCUUGUAAACAGUAAUCUGCCAAAAAUAAAUAAG